AAAUAUAAGACGCGAAGACAUACGAAAAAAAUAUUUAUAUCGAUUUCUUUCGCAAAAAUAACUUUUCCUCUCUGAUAUGAUUGCGAUGAGGAAACAGGAACCGCAAAUUAGCUUUAAAUUUCCUCUUGAUAUUUCGUUAAAAUUAUCUUCAAAUCGUGAACAAUUUUAUUAUAUAAACAUAUAGCUUUUUUAUAUAGGAAUUCUAAGAAAACGCGCGAAUAACAGAAUACAAGAUAAUGGCUUCACUUGUUCAAGAUUUAUUUUUCUCGUGAAGUAUGCAAUAACAGAUAGAAUAUAAUCAGUAAAGAGUUCGCAUGAUUUUAAUUUGUCAAUCAAUAAAUGUCCCUGUAUUUAAAAUUGUCAUUGAAAUAUAUGAUUUUUUCAGAGUUCCGCGCUUUCAAAAAGGUAUAUUUCGAAGAUCGUUAAAAUUCUCAAGUAUACAAGAUCUAGUUGAGGGUCGAAGCUCAAACAAUGAAGUUUCAAGAAAUGUAACUUUCUGCGAGGAUUCAGUACUCUAAGCAAUAAGUAGGAAGAUUUUCAUCCCCCAAGAGUAGCUAGAAGAUCCAAGAAUUCAUUCUUCCGAGCAGGAGAGAGUUCCAAGAAGUUAAAGUACCGAAGGCCCCAUGGUUCCAGGGAACAGUGUUCCAAGAAAUCUCAGGUCUCGCGGAUCCGAAGAUGCCUCCUCAUUUCUAAUUCAAGCUCGAGGGAUCCACAGGAAGCUUUCAAAGGUGGCGAGAGAAUCUCCUUCUUACCCGCCAAAGUUCACCGGCAUCAGCAGGGUGAACUUGGCCUGGUCGAUGCUCGCCUCCUCGCUCGCGCAGGGUCCGAUGCUGUCCAGCAAGCUCUGUAUCGCGCUCUGGUUGCUCGGGUGUUUCCGCUUGGUGUGCUCGCGACGAUGCUUGAGCUCCUUGAACGUCUUGCCGCACUGCUCGCAGCUGUAGGGCCUGGCGGCCUCGUGGGAGCGCACGUGACCCUCGUAGUGGCUCUUCCGCACGAACUUCUUGCCGCACUGGCCGCAAUCGAACUGGAAGCGGCCCUCGUGAGCGGCCACGUGCGAGCUCAGGGUCCACUUGGUCUUGAACGUCUUGGAGCAGUAGUCGCAGCGGAUCUUCGAGUCCUUGUCCGCCCUUCGCGGGACCUUCUUCAGCAGUAACAUCUCCUCCAGGAAGAACUCGUCUUCCCCAUCCUUCGACGACUUAUUCACUGUUGCUUGACCGUGCAGUAGGCUUUUGGUAACUAAUAAACUGGAGACUUCAAUCAAUCUACAUAAAAAUGAUGAGACAGUACCUUGUCGUGCGAGGCCAGGUGGACCUUGAGCUUAUCCCCGUCGCUGAAUCUCUUCUUGCAACGCGGGCAGGGAUAGCCGGCUUUGUCCUCGGCGCAGCGUAGCACGACGCUUCGUAGAGUCGCGUCGUUCCCUACGUUCUCCACAACGAUUUUGUGUUGAUCGGUCAGCUGCAGCUUCUCCUUUCGCAUUGCGUGCCGAGCUAUGUGUCGCUUCAGAUCGUGCGCCCUCGAGAACGCUCGACCGUAUCGCGAGCACGUGGGAAAGGGACAGCCCUUUGUCCUGUCGUUUCUCGGACUGGAGGAAAAAGAGAGGAUUUGUAACUUUAAUUUAGAAUUGAAGAUUUUAGGAAACUAUGAUUGUCUCAGGAAUUUAAGGACAUUCCAGCUCUUCUGGUACCUUCGAGUGGGAUUAGGCGGAGCGGUUGACUGUUUCGCAUCCUUACUGCAAUCCUUGCAGUCCUUGUAGACCUUCUGACAUGCCAUUGUGGUGAGUUGAGUCGAUAACGGUAUCACGAUGGAGAUGGUCUCGUUGGACCCAGGAGUGACGAUGGGUCCGACGUGGAUGGCUGGCGGCGUCGCCAGGGAAAUUCCACUUUCGCUGUUCCUGCUCAUGUUGAUCUUGCCAGGGAUUCCUUAGAGACUUGGAUCUGUUAACGGAGACGGCGUUAUCAGCACGUUAUCGCGAAGAGACGAUGGAAAGAGAGAGAGAAACAGUCGUCGAUAAGUUUAUCAACACCGAGCUGUCUUCAUCUUCACAUCCGGGAGACACAACCCGACGACGUAGCGGACGCACCGAGGUAUUAAGGUGACAUUGAACGUCGUGAAUCGAAGCUUCCCUUCUACGGAUCACAACUCUAAGAAAGAAGCGCGUUUACAAGAUCUAGAUAGGGAGAGACAGAGGGAGCGAUAGAUAUCGAGAGGGAGGAUCCUACAUUCAGGGAUAUUUCGGAGCUCAGCGAAGCGUCACCGACGCCGAGGAUACUCUUGAACGUCCUUUCUCCUCGGAGAUGCUUCACGAGGGUACCUCACACCUUCACCGGGACCUCACUCGCGUGACAGCUCGCUCUCGCGAGAUCGGAGCGCUUCGCGCGACGACGCGACGCUUCUACGGGGUGCACGCGCGACACCAGGUGUGGGGUGCGGCCAUCUUAAAGCGAGCCUCUCGUUUCCUCUUCCCCACCCUGGCGAUGCGCCUCAAGCCUGGAAACGCUCGUGCGCAUGUCACGAGUGCCUCGUUUGAAAAAUGAUCAUCCUCUGACAGCGGAUCAGCUGUUCUCUUUUUCUGUUUUUUUUUCGCUGCUAAGUAGAUUUUUUCUCUCCUCGAAUUCUUUCUCCCCUCUCUUUCCGCGACGAGGCUUCUCGAUGACGAGGUCUUUCAAUCAGUCGAUCUUUCCUUGGCGAAACUGGUUCGUUUUUUAAGUAUAAAUAAUUGGAAAUUAAGAGGAACCUGGUAAUCGACAGUAUAUUUUAUUAUUUAAUUCUUUUGUGAAUUUUUCAUG